rnacentral:rRNA from 1 species
AGCGGCGGAUGGGUGAGUAACACGUGGGGAACCUGCCCCUAAGUCUGGGAUACCACUUGGAAACAGGUGCUAAUACCGGAUAAUAAAGCAGAUCGCAUGAUCAGCUUUUGAAAGGCGGCGUAAGCUGUCGCUAAGGGAUGGCCCCGCGGUGCAUUAGCUAGUUGGUAAGGUAACGGCUUACCAAGGCGACGAUGCAUAGCCGAGUUGAGAGACUGAUCGGCCACAUUGGGACUGAGACACGGCCCAAACUCCUACGGGAGGCAGCAGUAGGGAAUCUUCCACAAUGGACGCAAGUCUGAUGGAGCAACGCCGCGUGAGUGAAGAAGGUUUUCGGAUCGUAAAGCUCUGUUGUUGGUGAAGAAGGAUAGAGGUAGUAACUGGCCUUUAUUUGACGGUAAUCAACCAGAAAGUCACGGCUAACUACGUGCCAGCAGCCGCGGUAAUACGUAGGUGGCAAGCGUUGUCCGGAUUUAUUGGGCGUAAAGCGAGCGCAGGCGGAAAAAUAAGUCUAAUGUGAAAGCCCUCGGCUUAACCGAGGAACUGCAUCGGAAACUGUUUUUCUUGAGUGCAGAAGAGGAGAGUGGAACUCCAUGUGUAGCGGUGGAAUGCGUAGAUAUAUGGAAGAACACCAGUGGCGAAGGCGGCUCUCUGGUCUGCAACUGACGCUGAGGCUCGAAAGCAUGGGUAGCGAACAGGAUUAGAUACCCUGGUAGUCCAUGCCGUAAACGAUGAGUGCUAAGUGU